UUUAGUUUCGGCCUAUCCUAUUGGAGAUGACCAAAGACCCUAUAAUCAGUCAUAUUAGAUUAUUAUCAUAUACGAAGUACUACCCUAAGUUAAAGAAGACUAAAAGACUAAUUGACUGAAGUUGAACAACCCUAAUAUUAUUUCUUCAGUAGCCGUCACUCUCAAAAACUCAUUCUCUCUCUUCCCUCCUGCUCUCCAUCUUCUCUUGCGGUUCUCUGAUUUUUUGGUUCUCAUGAGCUUGGAUUUGGAUUAUUGGAAGUUCUCGGUCAUCUAGUCUCUUCGUUGUUCCCUCCAGACUCCAGUACACGAGGUGAGUUGAAACAGAUGGAGUACUCAAAAUUGGUGGAGGAACUAGAAGAUGAAUGUGAAAGUGAGAUCGAUUAACAUGGAUUGAGAUCGAUUAAUUCAAGUUUAAUUAAAGACAACUACGAUGUAUUAGAAGUCUAUUUUUUUCUUAUGUUUGGAUUUAUAUGUAUGGGAUAAUAUGUGAGAAUUUUAUGUUUGUUUGGAUGGAUUUUAUUAUGGAUGAUUGGCAGGUAGUUUUUUUUUCCA